AGUGGAAUUGCUGGGUCAUAUUGUUAGUCUAACUCUUUGAGGAACUGCCAAGCUGUUUGCCACAGAGGCUGCACCAUUUUAUAUUCCUUCCAGCAGU
rnacentral:pre_miRNA from 1 species